AGUUUCAAAAUUUAAUAUUUUGGAAUACAUGAUUAUUUGAGUAGAAAAUUUAAUGUUAUAUGUUGAACGAAUACGAUGAGGCUUAGAAUCUAAGGAAAUGAAGAAUAAUUUAUGAUUAUGUCACCGAGAUGAAAACGAAAACCAGCCGCGGAAGAUCAACCAGAUAAUCGAACGUCGAACGCCAAAGACUUUAAGACAAUCCUAUUGCUAGGGUAUAGAGGAUUAAGUGACUCAGUAGAAGCGUUUAUGAUAGUUAGGAUAACGAAAAGGGCAAAAGAUAACUUUUAUCACCUAUACGAUAAAAGGGAAAUGAGAUAAAGAGAAAGUUUAUGGGCAAAAGAGACAUAUCUCUUCCAAUUAUCCCAAUUCAAGAAUGUAUAGCGAAUGUUUUAUUUGUGAAUCAAUGGAGUAUAAGGUGAAAGAUUAUUCAAGAAGGAGAAGUGAGAUAAGGAAUGCGAAUACGAGAAAUGACAGCAAGAUAUAGGCGACAACGAAACCAAUUUCAACAAACAACCCAACUGCGAGGGUCUACAACAUGACGGUACAGGAUACGGUGGCAGCUGGAAACAGAACUCCAGGUGCUAUUUGAAUAACUUAUGUGUCUUAUAUGAUUUUCCUG
rnacentral:lncRNA from 1 species